UACAGAGGGGGCAAGCGUUGUUCGGAAUUACUGGGCGUAAAGGGCGCGUAGGCGGCCUGUUAAGUCGAACGUGAAAUCCCCGGGCUCAACCCGGGAACUGCGUCCGAUACUGGCAGGCUUGAAUCCGGGAGAGGGAUGCGGAAUUCCAGGUGUAGCGGUGAAAUGCGUAGAUAUCAGGAGGAACACCUGUGGCGAAAGCGGCUCACUGGACCAUAACUGACGCUGAUGCACGAAAGCUAGGGGAGCAAACAGG
rnacentral:rRNA from 1 species